UCAACAGAAAACAUGAUUCAAAAAUUGCUCUUAUUUUGAAUACUGACUCUGCGUCCGUAACCGUUCCCCUGCAUGCUAGGUGUUGCAUCUACAUACUUCUGACGGUAUUCUGCAUUCUACUGCAUGAUCUUGAUACAUACUAGAUUGCAUCUAUAAAGAUUUUAGUGCAAUGAAUACUGCAUACUAAGACUUCUCUGAACUGUGAACAUAUUGAUAUUAUUUCUUUGCAAGACAUAAAAAAAGGUUGAUCAUCGGAAUGCAAUGGGUAACAAGGCUAACACGUGGGGAUGUUUAUGCUACACGGUGAAAAUUGAAAAUACUAAUUAGCAUAGUGUUUAAUAUUUCCUUGACAUUUUUCAUGUUUAUCCCUUGCGAUGCAUAUGAAGCAUGCACUACAUGAUUUUAAUGUAUACUUUGUAAUGAAUAUUUAACGUUUAUCUUUUCCUGUGCAUAUGCAUGACCUUCUGAUAAUCUUGGAACUUGUAGAAAUUAAUUUUAUUUUCCUGGCAAACCAGCAAGCAACGACAUGUUUGCUAAUAGUUUUCCAUCGUUUUCUUUGACUGUUUCGUUGGAAAUACUUUCAAAUAAUAGCAAAAAAAGGACCGCUGCUGAAAUUGUAUGCAGAGGUAAUUUAAAGAUUAAAAGUUCUAAUUCCAAAUCAAAUCAUUUAGGAUAUUCAAUGUGUUUCAGUAAGUACCAUCCGAGUGAAUUACAAUGGUGGCAUCGGUAGACUUUUAAAGCCGGAAGUGAUCAGUAGAAAGCCCAUUCCAGAGCGCGAUCGAUUCUGCGGCAUUUCCAGUAUUCUGACAAGGAGUACCACACGAAGCAGACCGUGUUCCGUCGAAUUUUCUCAAACUCUUCUCAAUGGAUUACUGAAGCUGUUUCCUCAAAUGUUCGAUAAACGCAAGCAGCUCUCCAUCGGACCAAAGAGUGAGUCAAGGACAUUCGGGAAAACGUGGACUGUUAUGCAGGAUGAUGUCGAAUCGAGAACACGGUGAGCAACGCGAUGAAUCAAUAUGACUCGGGUGAAGCCAACUCAUGUGAUUUUAGAAUAGGAUUUAGUAAUGUGAUCAUCAAUCAGAUGUGUAAUUAUUGGUUCAAUAAAUAUAAAUUAUUCGCGGAAUAAUAUCGCGAGAUUUUUCAUUUGUUUAGAAAAACAAAAGAAAAAUUAAAUUUUAAGAAAUUCAGUGAAUUAUUAUUCAUUAUGCAUUGGAUAAAUUAACUGUGAUAUAUGCACACGUUGCUAUAAAAGUUUUUUAUACUAGCGAUGCAUAUUAGGUACAUAUUCAUUGCUAGGGGUGAAUAGACCGAAUAUGGUUUUAGUAUGGCUUUUACACUGCUUAGCAUAUAUUUUUUUAACCGUGUAUGCUAUUCCUCUUUAAUGGGAAAAAAUAUUUAGGAUUUCUCUACUUCUACUUACACAAUAACAAAUCCAAUAAUUAAACGUUUUUGAUUUAUAUAUAACUUUUCGGAUCUCCAACCAAUCACAUCGCCAUAACUUAAGAUUAUUUUUCCCCGCGGAGAAGAUUUUCAACAUGAAACGAAAUCACUAAUCUGCUACUUGAGAGGGUA
rnacentral:lncRNA from 1 species